GGAGAGUAAGAUGGAUGGAUUAACGGAGGCAUCCAGAGCAAGUAAAGGAAUCGGUUCUGUGCUUCAGCUGGAAUUGAUCAAUUUGGAGAAUCAGAGAUGGCAUGAGUCCAGGAUAUCUGAGGAGCCCUCUUUCCCUACCCCACUCAUGCCAGCAGAAGAGGCCUACUACGAAUUCUGUCUGGUAAGGCAUUAAAGUAGGUAAGAUCAAGGAGAAGAGCCUUUUCUGCUGUGGCCCCAUGCUUGUGAAACAUUCUACCACUGGAGGUGAGAACUACCUCCUCCCUUUUGGCCUUCCAGAAGGCCUUGGGUCCCAAGUGGGGGAAACCUACUGCUGGAAGUGGCUGAUUGGGUAAGAACACCUCUCCCUGUCCCAUCCAUCUCUUACUCUUAGUACAGUUUUAGUACAGUUUUUAAUAAUAUUUUAAUCUGUGCCAUUUUAAUCUUUUAAAACUCUUUUUUACUUGUUUUAUCAUUUGUAAACCACUUAAGAGUCACGUCGUAGGGGAGAUGGUUUGCUAAUCAAGCAAUCAAUCUUCUAAUUUUGGGCAACGAUAAUCCGGUCAACUGAAUGGAAGCAGUUUCAUAUCUCCUUGCUGCAAGAUGCAUGUGUCAUCCUCAGCCCUGGAGUAUCCAUUAGAGGUUUAUCAAAGGGAGUUGAGGACUCAGCAAAACUAUGGACUCUUCUCUUGAAUGUGUACACAGGAAAGAUAUCUAUGAGCUGUCUGAAAAAACUGACCUUGAAAAUUUUGCUGAACUACUAUUGUUCCUGAUGAUCUAGAAAAUAAAUCUUUUGGCAGAACAA